UAAAGUGCGAAAAGUGAUGCGAUUUGCAUGAAUCUGUGAGUCAUCUAGUUUUUGAACGCAAAUGGCACUCUUGUGUAAGCAGGAGUAUGUCUGUUUGAGAAUCCCAAAACCGAUCAACACCUGUGGGGGUUGGCACUGGCGUUCCGUGCAGCAAUGUGCGGUCUGCUUGAAAUCAUUCAGGUUGAUGGGCUCCGGCUGAGCUCCAAAUGUGCUAAAAGACUGUGGUCUUUCGUCAUUUGGCUGCGCAGUUGCAAGGCUCUACUCAACAACCUUUAUUAUUAUAUCAAAUAGGAUCUCAAAUCAGGCAAGAUUACCCGCUGAACUUAA
rnacentral:misc_RNA from 1 species